rnacentral:piRNA from 1 species
UGAAUUCUGUCAGGUUUCUUCCAGUUUUA